AGAAUCAACGCUGGCGGCGUGCCUAACACAUGCAAGUCGCACGAGAAAGGGACUUCGGUCUUGAGUAAAGUGGCGCACGGGUGAGUAACACGUGAAUUAUCUACCUCCGAAUGGGGAAUAACUGAGAGAAAUCUUAGCUAAUACCGCAUAAUACCUACGGGUCAAAGCAGCAAUGCGUUUGGAGAGGAGUUCGCGGUCGAUUAGUUAGUUGGCGGGGUAAUGGCCCACCAAGACGAUGAUCGAUAUCCGGCCUGAGAGGGCGCACGGACACACUGGAACUGAAACACGGUCCAGACUCCUACGGGAGGCAGCAGUGGGGAAUUUUGCGCAAUGGGGGAAACCCUGACGCAGCAACGCCGCGUGGAGGAUGAAAUAUCUUGGUAUGUAAACUCCUUUCGAUGGGGAAGAUAAUGACGGUACCCAUAGAAGAAGCCCCGGCUAACUUCGCGCCAGCAGCCGC
rnacentral:rRNA from 1 species